rnacentral:lncRNA from 1 species
GUGAAAUGAGCCCUAUUCCUCCUUUCCAAUGGCCAAUUCACCACUUCACUUACUUACUACUUACUUAAUACCGGAAAAAAAAGGCAGCAGGAGUUGGUAUGGUGACGGUGACAAUAACCUUUUCUCAUAAGAUGUUUGUGGAAUUGACGGUGACCCUUGAUGUGACUAAGGCAGCUUUACUGUUGGUGUGAAAAUGGAGGGGAAUUCUAUUGGGCUGAAGGCAGGUUAGUGUUCAGUGACAAUGAACGCUAACAUUACAUGAGAUGCGGUUGGAAGCGAGGCAGCAGUCUUUCUAUGUUUUUCCACUCUAACG